rnacentral:rRNA from 1 species
CGGGGUGCAGCAGGCGCGAAAACUUUACAAUGCCGGCAACGGCGAUAAGGGAACCUCGAGUGCCAGGUUACAAAUCUGGCUGUCGUGAUGCCUAAAAAGCAUUGCAUAGCAAGGGCCGGGCAAGACCGGUGCCAGCCGCCGCGGUAACACCGGCGGCUCGAGUGGUAACCGUUAUUAUUGGGUCUAAAGGGUCUGUAGCCGGCCGGAUAAGUCUCUUGGGAAAUCUGGCAGCUUAACUGUCAGGCUUUCAGGAGAUACUGUCUGGCUCGAGGCCGGGAGAGGUGAGAGGUACUUCAGGGGUAGGGGUGAAAUCUUGUAAUCCUUGAAGGACCACCAGUGGCGAAGGCGUUUCACCAGAACGGACCUGACGGCAAGGGACGAAAGCUAGGGGCACGAACCGGAUUAGAUACCCGGGUAGUCCUAGCCGUAAACGAUACUCGCUAGGUGUCGGCCACGGUUCGUCCGUGGUCGGUGCCGUAGGGAAGCCGUGAAGCGAGCCACCUGGGAAGUACGGCCGCAAGACGUGAAACUUAAAGGAAUUGGCGGGGGAGCAC